UACAUGGGGUGCAAACGUUGCUCGGAAUUAUUGGGCGUAAAGCGCGCGUAGGCGGUUACUUAAGUCGGAUGUGAAAGCCCUCGGCUUAACUGAGGAAGUGCACCCGAAACUGAGUAGCUAGAGUACGAAAGAGGGUCGCGGAAUUCCCGGUGUAGAGGUGAAAUUCGUAGAUAUUGGGAAGAACACCGGUGGCGAAGGCGGCGACCUGGUCCAUUACUGACGCUGAGGCGCGACAGCGUGGGGAGCAAACAGG
rnacentral:rRNA from 1 species